GGUUGUAUAGUGUAGUGGCUAUCACAUCGGAUUCUGAGUUUGUUAGUCCCACGGUUCUCUUUCGAAUCGUGGUUGGUGACGAAAAAGAAGUUUCCGGUAACCCCGGUUCGAUCCCGGGUACGACCU